AUGAAGAAGAAGAAGGAGUUGCACAACUUAGAGAUGAAGUGAAGAAGAUGUUAAUAGAAGCUCAUCAUGCUACAUCAACAAGAAAAUUAUUAGAGAUUAUUGACAAUACCCAAAGAUUUGGAGUAUCAUAUCAUUUUGAAAAGGAAAUUGAGGAAUCACUUAAACACACAUCUACAACAACAUGAGUUGUGUUGAAUUUGCACGUCUAGACUUCAACAUGUUGCAAAAGUUGCAUCAAAAAGAGCUAAGUGGCCUUACAAGGUGGUGAAAAGGUUUGGAUGUUGAAAGAAACUUUUUAUUUGCACGAGAUUGUUUGGUAGAAGCCUAUUUUUGGAUAAUAGGAGUGUACUUUGAGCCACAAAUAUUGUAGGGCGCGAAGAUUUUCAACUCAAAUAAUCUCUCUUGCGUCCAUAUUAGACGAUUUGUAUGAUGUUUAUGGAACACAUGAUGAACUUGAAAUGUUCACGGAUGCCAUUCAAAGAUGGGACAUAAAUGCAUCACAACAACUACCCCCAUAUACCUAAAGCUCCUAUACCAAUAUAUUUUUGAUACUUAUGAUGAAAUGGAAGAGUUGUUGGCAAAGGAAAACGUAUCCUAUCGAGUUCACUAUGCAAAAA